rnacentral:rRNA from 1 species
GGAAUAUUGGGCAAUGCCCGCAAGGGUGACCCAGCAACGCCGCGUGGAGGAUGAAUGUCGUAAGAUUGUAAACUCCUGUUAGAGGGGAAGAAUAGUACCGGUUGGACCGGUAUAUGACUGUACCCUCAGAGAAAGCCCCGGCUAACUACGUGCCAGCAGCCGCGGUAAUACGUAGGGGGCAAGCGUUGUCCGGAUUUACUGGGUGUAAAGGGCGAGCAGGCGGGAUAAAAAGUCAGUGGUGAAAUCCUACAGCUUAACUGUAGAACUGCCUUUGAGACUUUUAUUCUUGAGUUCGGGAGAGAGAGACGGAAUUCCAGGUGUAGGGGUGAAAUACGUAGAUAUCGGGAAGAACACCAGUUGCGAAGGCGGUCUCUUGGUCCGACACUGACGCUGAUGCGCGAAAGCGUGG